ACUCUCUCUCGAUCGACCACCUCCUCCGCCCCCAGUCCGCUGCGUCGCCUCCCUCGGUCCGACUCACCUCCGGCAGCCUCCCUCUGGUCCGGCCGUCCCCCGAUCUGAAUCCGUCUGCCCCACCCCGUAAUCCGCCUCUACCUCCCAUCAAAUCCUCCGCCCCAUCAAAUGGAGACUUAAAUCGAGCCCUAAUCUCCCAACCCUCUGCAAUCGACCGUGGUCCGAGCAUCCACCAAUGCUGCCAGAAGCUGACGCCGUCGACCCCGUUGCACGUGCCGUCCGAUGACUAAGCCUCUGCUCUCAUUCCCGGCGGCGAAGCCGAACGACGUUUCUCCCUCUCUUGUCUCAGGGUUUAGGUCUCUCUCACACAUUUUCUAUCUCUCUCUCUCUCAUACGCAAUUUCUAUAUAUCUUCUUCUCUAUCUAAUUGCUCUUCCUCUUUCUCUCCAACAAUGUGUCUUUCCCUCCCCAGGCCGAUUGCAGCUGUGAGUUUUCUUCCUUGCAUUAUUUGUCUCCAAAUGUAAGAUUGGGCUCUUUUUUUUGGAUUUCUAACAAUUUGCAACUUUGCUUUGUUUGUGAGGCUAUUGUUGUUGAUGAAUUUUGGGGCUAUUGCAGUUUUGAUGAAUUUGAAUAUGGUGGUGAUGGUUGCAGCUGUGAGUUUUCUUCCUUGCAUUAUUUGUCUCCAAAUGUGAGAUUGGGCUCUUUUUUUUGGAUUUCUAAAAAUUUGCAACUUUGCUUUGUUUGUGAGGCUAUUGUUGUUGAUGAAUUCUAGGGCUAUUGCAGUUUUGAUAAAUCAACGGGGUAUACAGAUCUCACACCCUCUCUAUCUCUUCUCUAUAUUUUUGGUGCAAUUAUGUACUUAGAUUUCAUGUAUAAAAGAAUAAAACACUUAGAGAGAGUUGGCAUGCUCUAACAACGAUUUGUUUAUCUGCUGCAGCUGAGAGGAGCAAAAAUUCUGAAAAUGAAUUCAAAACCCUCCCAAAUGGUCUCAAGUACUAUGAUUUGAAGACUAGAGACGGACUUGAAGCUGUAAAGGGAUCUCGGGUUAUAGUAUGAUUGUGGCACAGGUCUCUCUUUAUGUUUAUGCAGUUAACACUUGGCUAUGCUCCUAAUUGGAAUUGCCAAAAGAGAUACAACAACCCUAGAGGAAGAGAGCUGGCAGUGCUAGCACUGUGUCAAAAUGCAAUCACCCAUGCCAAGUCUGCAAUUCAUUUCUUGUUUUUUAUGUUGAUUCCAAUUCAAUCUUAUUAAUCUGUUAUGUGCCAUUGUGAAUGUGAUUGAUGGUAAUACUACGGUGGCAGUAAGACUUUAAGAGCAGUCGAUGUGAGCUUCCGCUAUCGGACACUCACAAAGGUGAUACCCUGAGGCUGCUCUACAUUUACAAAAGAUGGGGCAUCUUGCAUUUACACUAUCAAAGCGGUUGCUGAGAAAUCUGCAUGGCAAUUUGCGGAGGAAAAUAGCGUGGACAUAGUCGUGCUGAAUCCAGGAGUGGUGGCUGGUCCUAUUAUGGUGCAGCUUUUUAGAUGUUGUAGGAUUGUCAUAUGAAAAAUACUAUUAUGGUGUAGCUUUUUAGAUAUUCAUUAUGGUGUUGGGACAUGUUGUAAAACAAUGGAUCUUGUUUUGUGGAUGUUGGAUUAUUAGUUGUUAUCAAUGUUUAAAUGAGCAUUUUCAGUA